AUUGAACGCUGGCGGCAGGCCUAACACAUGCAAGUCGAGCGGAGCGGCGGGCGGGUGAGUAAUGCCUAGGUAGAAGCCUGGUAUUGGGGGAUAACGUCCGGAAACGAGCGCUAAUACCGCAUACUAUCAGAUGAGCCUAGGUCGGAUUAGCUAGGUGGUGGGGUAAAGGCCUACCAGGGCGACGAUCCGUAACUGGGCUGAGAGGAUGAUCAGUCACACUGGAACUGAGACACGGUCCAGACUCCUACGGGAGGCAGCAGUGGGGAAUAUUGCACAAUGGGCGAAAGCCUGAUGCAGCCACGCCGCGUGUAUGAAGAAGGCCUUCGGGUUGUAAAGUACUGUCAGCGGGCAGGCGUUACCCGCAGAAGAAGCACCGGCUAACUCCGUGCCAGCAGCCGCGGUAAUUC
rnacentral:rRNA from 1 species